AAAAUAUUUUCAGUUUUAAUAUCAUAAAAAAACUAAGAAGUUUUCACAAACUGUUAUCUUUGACAAAGAAUAGCCAUCUAUGCAUGCAUUAUUCUCCACGGGAUCCCUGUUAUACCGAAGCAGGAAUCUGAAUAAAGGAAAAUGUGCUUCAUUAUACAUUGAGCCAGGAUAUUAGCAAGCUAGUACAGCCUGCUGCCGUAUAUACUUUGUUUUUGCAGGAACUUCAGUUGUUUAUUUUACGAUAUGAUUAGCUUUUAUUAAAUUUAAAGUGAAAGAUUUUUCCAUAAAGCUGUAAGCAUAAUAAACCAACAUCUCUGAGCUUUUUUUUGGCAUUCAUAGUGCAUUUUGAAAUAGUAUUAUUGUCUAGAGACUUUUAUAACCUUUAAAACACUGUAGAAACAAUCAAACAUGUCUUUCUUAAAAUAAAAUAUUUCUUGCUACAUUCAGCUGCAAGACUGCUGAGGUCUCAAUUUUCAAGACCAUGAGUUUUGCUUUAAGCAAUAAUUAAAACCUAAACCAAAAAUGAGAGAGCCUGUGCUUGCUGAUUGCUGCUUUCUAUCUCAUUUGUUCCCCUUUUGUUUUUCCAAUUGUUUAAGGUUAUUUUACAGGAAACCAGAAGCAGUUGAUCUGUAGCAGCACAGUAUGGUCCACUCACGUCACUGAAAUGGGGUCACGAAAACGCUCCUACAGGAGUGGCUGUACAAACGUGCCUACCCGUGGCCUCCCGAGCACUUCAGCCAUGUCUGCUUAUGGGAGAAGAUGAGAACCAGACCCUGAGCUGCCCUCGCUGCUUCCUCAUUUCCUGCUCGUGUGCUAGAGCGCGGGCAGAUCCCUUCACCCGUGACUAAGGGGGCCUUCACGGGACGUGGCAUUCCCAGUGCCUUCGGGAUCUUAACAGCACGCCUCCUGUUUUCUAACACAUUGUAUGCCAUUAUCCCUUCUCAUAAUAAGAGGCUUUGGAUUUACCUACUGACACAUAAAAUUGCAGGCAUUUGAUACAACCUACAUCAAGCACUAAGCACCACUGAACGUUCUUACUUGCUGUUGAGACAGAGGCUUGUUGAGAUCUAAAUGGGGUUUCUUUGUAACCAGGCUCAGCAGGACAGCACCGCGGCGCUGGCACACUACCUUAACAGUGAUUUAAAAUAGGAAGUCAUAGACUGAGAUUCCUUGUGGUCCAGCAGGGACUGGAAACAUAUUUACGAAGCACAGUCUAGUAUGGC
rnacentral:lncRNA from 1 species